rnacentral:lncRNA from 1 species
GCAGGAGUGUGUGUGUGCGUUUCAAAAAACAAAGGGUUUGUUUGUGUGGGUUCAACAUGGGGUCCCAUCUGUAGAGAAUCGUUUGAAAUUCAAAGUUUGAACUAUCCAGCAUAUGACAUGUCAAGGUAUCGGCCGACCGCCCGGGGUUAAACCUGGAUAUCUAAUCAACGCCCCCCAGGACCCCCCCAAACAAAACGCAUGACAGAACGGCUCUUUGAAUUCACAGCCUUUUGGUCUAAAGCAAACAUACAGUUAGUUGGUUGCAUACAGGCUAUCUCUCGAAACUCAUUCCGUACUUUAACAAGUUAGGGACAGAACGUCUAUUUUUAACACGUUUAGCACGGCUUUAGCGCAAACCCAAAGGCCCGAAUAUUUAACUGCCAGGACAGAUAGCAUAGUCUGUAAAGCCCUCCUAAUGGAUAUUUCUGAAGGCUACUGGACAUAAGUGAUUGGGAAGCGACUGUUAGACGUAGAUUCUCAGAAGCAAACGGCGCCCUGUCCUUUACGUAGCCCUUCACGAUCACACAUUUUUAGGCGUAAGUCCAAAUAAUCACAUACCCAAGAAUAUUUAUAUAUUAAAAAAAGAAAAAUGUGCACUCUGAACGACGUCGUAAGACAACAGGCAGCAGUCCCAGGACAGAUAACAGAGUAUGUGAAGCCCUCCUAAUGGAUAUUUCGGGAGCUGAGUAAGUGAAAAUGUAUUUUAAGUUUUGUUUGAAUAUUAUCGGGAUAUUAUUGUAAUAUUAAACACGCGUUAUUUGUGUUUUAAACAGGGGGGACAACGAUUUUUUAUUUUUUUUAUUUUGUAUUUUAUUUUAGGUAUGAUGGACAUCGGACACAUAGGGUGACUUGGAUGCAUUAGGGACUCUGAACGAUAUCGGAGGAACCGAUGAAACAGACAGUAUUCGGUCUUUUUGUAUGAACGUUUUUCCAAACACUCCAAGAACAGAGAAUUUAAACGUCCCGACAACAACCCAGGGAACCACCACCCCCACACAACAUAGUCCAGACCCCAACAACAAAAGCACAACGGUGGCCCAAGUGCAUUGCGCAGAAUCACCAGAGGGUCUACUUGACCUGCUUAUUGAUUAGAAAGUAUGAUUAGAAACCAAGGCUGUGGAAUAUAUUCGCUCUCACAGGCUAUGAAAAAGACAAAAGCUAGGACAUUGACUCCGGAGUGUUGAACUUAUGCCCACUCUACAACAACCCAGGUUGUUAUAUGACCCCUGAGGAUCAUCUACGAACGUUGGAACAUCUACAACUAUUGAAGAUGCAAAAAGGGGUUUUCAGAAACACAUUUGGUUUACAGAUAUGUAUUAUUAUAAAAAUAAUAUAACAUUAUUAUCAUAAUCUAAAACACUUUAAAGGAUCUCUAAUUCAAACAUGCAAGGAUAUAUAUAUAUAUAUGAUACGAUUAACCACUUUAAAACUGUUGCUGCAAUAUCACUUCUCAAUGUGUGUACAUUUCAAGCUUUCAACAACAAUAAACAAACCAGCUCAAUAAUGUUUCUCAGACUUACAAACUGUUGAGUUUUCCUAGUUAGUAAAGAAACAACCACUAAGCCAAAACCCCAAAAGUUGUAAUAUAAUCUGUAUACAAGUCAUUCUAUACAGAAAACAGGUACAUUUUGAUUGAUCAAGAAUUCCCAAUAGGUUUGUGUCACGCCCUGACCAUAGUUUGCUAUGUAUGUUUAUAGGUUUUGUUUGGUAUGGGUGUGAUAU